ACGUUUUUUCGGGACUACCACUGGGUGAAUUGUCAAAGGCCUUCACUAAAAGCCAGCAAAAGUGGAGCAGCAACAAGCUGUUGUUGGACCAUAUAUUUGCAGAGCCAUCCAAGACAAGCAACGCACAAAAAGAAUAGAAAAGAAAAACAGCAAACAAGUGCUGAAAGCUGUGACACACAAGCAACAGUUGGAUUUUUGUGAAUAUUUUCAAACCCAACCACCAAAAAGAAAAGUGCUUGACAAAAAAAAAACAAAAGUAAAAAUAAAAUAAAAAAAGGCAACAACAACAUACAAGGAUAAUAAGGGAUAUUAAUUAAAUGCAAAUGAUGUUAGCAGUGUAAUUAAAAAAAGAAAUUACUUUAACAAAUCCUUUAAUCCAAAUAAAAUAGAAAAGUUUAAUAAAAACUAAUUGGAUUUUGAAGUUUUUAAACAAAAUUAUGGACUUUGUGGUAGUGCAGUGAAAAAGUGUGUGUCUUUGUUUUCAUUAUAGAAAACCGCAAUUAAAAAACUUUUUAUUGUUUUGUGCUAAAAUUUACAAUAACUAAUUGUGGUUUGGGUGUUGAUGGUGGCAUUUUGUGUUAAGUUGACAAUUUUGAAACUUAUUUAAGUGGAAAGAUACACAGCCUAAUUGGAUUUGAAAGAAAAGAAACGAAAGAUAAAACAAACAAACCAGUAUGCCAUUGAAAUAAAACAUCAAGGAUAUGAAAAAAAGCUGUUGGAAAUUGUAAUUCCGUGGAAGAUUAUACAAAAAAAUUUAACUUUUUUUGCUAAAAAAAAAAUUCAUAUAAAUUGCAUUAAGCAAACGAAAGUUUCGCCUGUUAAAAGCCAGCUAAAAUUUACACAAAAAAGUGACAAAAAAGAAAAACAAAAAAGUGAUUGUAAAAAAAAACUCCCUUGAAAGCGUAUGCAAAAACAAUCAUCAUAAAUUGCUGUUGGCUAUUAAAGAAAAAAAAACGUGUAAAAAUUGGUUACUUUGUAAUAAAUUUCCUACAAGGAAGCAAAGUGUGAGUCAAAAAAAAAACCAACGAAAUAUAAAACCCUUAAUUAAUUUGAUGAUAAUUAAUUUUCCCAGUGCAACCAAAAGCUUAGGCACAGUGAAAAAUUACCUUCGAUCAAUUUGUGCGGACAUUUCCAUGUGCAAAUGUUUUGGCAUCAACAUAAACAGCGUAUUAAAAACGUGCAUAUCUCUUGGGUAAAGUGUGAAAUUGUUCUCCAUUGAGUUAUUAACAAUUUGACGUUGUGUUGUAUUGCAUCCUGUGCACAAUGGACUCUUAAUUAAUUAAAAGGCAGCUUGUGAAACAAAUUAAUCAAUUGUCCUGGGACUCUAUCAAUUUAGCCAAACAAACAAACACAACUCUUCGGUAUAGAAGUGAGAGAAUAAACAAAAAGACAAAAAAUCGGAAACGAAUAACAAUCAUCCUGCUUUUGUCAUUGGCUUUACUACAGGAAGUAAAGCUGCUUUUGACACUUGCUAACAUGAGAGAAACAUUUUUAAACUGAAACAAGAGUUCUACUCGCCAGCUAACUCUCGUCCUGCUGUAAGCUUUCACUUAGCCUCCUAAUGGACUAAACAAGGCACCAAGUUUUCUCAAAUACUGCAUUAAAAGGCUUGCAUUCAAUUAAG
rnacentral:sRNA from 1 species